rnacentral:rRNA from 1 species
UACGUAGGGUGCGAGCGUUAAUCGGAAUUACUGGGCGUAAAGCGCACGUAGGCGGAUAUUUAAGUCAGGGGUGAAAUCCCGGGGCUCAACCCCGGAACUGCCUCUGAUACUGGGUAUCUUGAGUGUGGUAGAGGUAAGUGGAAUUGCGAGUGUAGAGGUGAAAUUCGUAGAUAUUCGCAGGAACACCAGUGGCGAAGGCGGCUUACUGGACCACAACUGACGCUGAGGUGCGAAAGCGUGGGGAGCAAACAGG